GGCAAUAGAACAUCCAUAUAAGCAUUUUUUUUUCCAGCUCAACAAUAAGAAAAAUUAACGAGUCCCUAUCCCUCUUAAUAUAUUUUUUUGACCCUUCGGAGGUGAGAGCAGGAAGUCUCACCUUAUGGAACCAGUUUUAGUCCAAAUACAUCAGGAAAAAAAAAAAAAGGGAAAAUCCUCAGGUAAGGAUAUGGAACCUCCACCAAGCCGACCUGGGGUGCAACUACUCCAUUAUUCACAUGAAGUAUGGAGAAUCUCACAAUGUGAAAUCCUGAUAUUGAAUUCGUAUACCGGCGGAGACAUGUAUAAGUUCACAGAUGGGAUGAUGGGAACGUGCCCCUGCACUGAUGAAAGAAUGAGGGGACAAUGAGUUAAGCCGAACGGGACAGAGGAGCUCAAAACGGGACACAAUUCAAAUAGGCUGUACCAACAGAAAAGAUUGGCAAUUUGAUUAUCUAUAUUUGGUACGUCAUUUAUUGUGACAUAAAUGUACGAGAUGCAUACAACCCUACACUAGCUGGUCUGACCCUUAUUUUAUGAUCAAAAUCAAAGGGGAGAAAAAAAGAAGAGAAAAAAAAAAAAACAAACUGGGCUACCACUAGUCUACUAGAGGGAGGUGAAGUCUGUGUGUUCCAUCUGGCAUCAAUAAUGGAUGAGGAAAGAAGACCGACCUCGUGACGCCACUGUUUCCACAUUGCAAGAAAAUAUCGUCAGACACCAAGCAAGGAAGGGCAGGAGAGAGCCCACGCUCCCACCUCACGUGAAGGCCAUUGUGUACUUGGGGAGGCCACCCUUUUUUCCCCGUUCCCACGAGGCAGGGUCAUGUGGGAGUGUUAGGGCCCAAGGGCACCGACUCCAUGCCCCAACAGCGACCGGCGACCGGAUCUUAGGCUGGCCGGGCCCACGCGCGGGCGUCGCGCUUACGUCCGCGUGCUCCCCCACUCCCCGGCACGCGAGGGCCCACACCUUCCCACCCAAUCUUGCAAGGGGACAGCGAGAGGUCCCCACCCCCA
rnacentral:lncRNA from 1 species